rnacentral:rRNA from 1 species
UUGGAGGGCAAGUCUGGUGCCAGCAGUCGCGGUAAUUCCAGCUCCAAUAGCGUAUAUUAAAGUUGUUGCAGUUAAAAAGCUCGUAGUUGAAUUUCGGGGUCAGCAGGUUGGUCGUGCCACUGGUAUGCACUGGCCUUGCUGAUCCCUCCCUCUUGAUGAUCCGUAAUGCCAUUAAUUUGGUGUUGCGGGGAAUCAGGACUGUUACUUUGAAAAAAUUAGAGUGUUUAAAGCAGGCAAGCGCUUGAAUACAUUAGCAUGGAAUAAUGAAAUAGGACGUUCGAUCCUAUUUUGUUGGUUUCUAGGAUUGACGUAAAGAUUAAUAGGGAUAGUUGGGGGCGUUAGUAUUCAAUUGUCAGAGGUGAAAUUCUUGGAUUUAUUGAAGACUAACUACUGCGAAAGCAUUUGCCAAGGAUGUUUUCAUUAAUCAAGAACGAAAGUUAGGGGAUCGAAGGCGAUCAGAUACAGUCGUAGUCUUAACCAUAAACUAUGCCGACUAGGGAUCGGCUGAUGUUAAUUUUUUAAUGACUCAUUCGGCGCCUUACGGGAAAC